rnacentral:rRNA from 1 species
GAUUAACGCUGGCGGCGUGCCUAACACAUGCAAGUCGAGCGGCAGCGAGUUUUACACUGAAUUCUGGAAGCUUCUAGUUGAAAGAGAAGAUUUAUUCAAGAAUUUUUUGUAAAAUGUCGGCGAGCGGCGUACGGCUGAGUAACGCGUGGGAACGUACCCCAAAGUGAGGGAUAACGCAUCGAAAGGUGUGCUAAUACCGCAUAUGGUCUUCGGAUUAAAGCCUUCGGGCGCUUUGGGAACGGCCUGCGUAAGAUUAGAUAGUUGGUGGGGUAAUGGCCUACCAAGUCGACGAUCUGUAACUGGUGUGAGAGGAUGAUCAGUCAGACUGGAACUGAGACACGGUCCAGACUCCUACGGGAGGCAGCAGUGAGGAAUCUUCCACAAUGGGCGAAAGCCUGAUGGAGCAACGCCGCGUGAAGGAUGAAGGCCUUCGGGUUGUAAACUGCUUUUAUAAGUGAGGAUUAUGACAGUAACUUAUGAAUAAGGAUCGGCUAACUACGUG